rnacentral:lncRNA from 12 species
CGGCUCUACACCGCAGGCGUUCACUGCGCUCAGAGAGGAAGCCUGCAGCGGACGCAACACGCCGAACAGGUCCAUCUGUGUUUCUCGCUCUUCCUCUGUGCUACACGCUGAAGAACAGGAUCCUACACGCAGAUCUCAUCAGGAUAACAUGCUUGUAGGAUUCAGGGUGACGUGA